UCCUGCAGGGAGAGACAGACAGUGAGGGAGCCAGCCCUGCUGGGGAUGGAAAAACGGGGAGGGGAGAAGGCUCUAUAUAACCACCCCUCCACCCUUGCUUUGAGACGUGCAGACGGGGGUCUUGCUGAGCCAGAUGGACGGGCAGGCAGACAGAUGGACAGACAGACAACCUGGGAACUUACCGGUGCAGUGGUGAUGGUCUCCAUGGCUUUUGCUUUGCUCCUUCUGUAGGGAUGGAUUGGUCUCAGCAAGAGGAAUAUGCCUGAAAGCCUUAAGUAUGACCAAAAGGAGCCAUAUCUUCAUCACGGCCAUUUCUUCUAUCACAGAGCUCCCGUGGGACAUCUCUCAAGAAAACAAGACGGGAUGGAUCAGAGAACCGGCAACACAUAUCCACCGGAUAAUUAGAUUGAAAGAAAACCACCCCUCUGAAGACAAUGAGAUGAUAAAAGAGAUCAAGGUCCCUGGGAAAACUUAAUCCUUCCCUGUUUUCCAUUACUUCUCAGGUUAUUUCACUCCGCUAUUAAGAAAUGUGAUGUGCUGAUGAGUAGGAGAGAAAGCUUCUGGACUUGUGAGGGAAAAAGAGGAGUUGGGUUGUGUGAGGACAGUCUAUUAAAGAUUCAGCAGUUGUACAAGCCCCACAGGUAGAGUCUCCUGGGAUUCCUGGUAGAACGAGGCUGAUUAAAGCCUGGCACUGGAGAUGUCCUGCAGCCACCUCCAAAAACAGAAGAUAGAAAUGGUUUCUAAGGAGCUGCCUCUCCACCCAAACCCCAUACUGGUAUGUGUCUCAUUGACCACCAGGAGACCUGGAAAUCUCUCCCCAAAACCUUGGGAAAUAACAACUAAAGUGAGUUUGUUUCCCCAUAUGUUGUCAUACAAUCAUUAAGCUUGGAAGAGACCUCCAAGAUCAUCCAGUCCAACCCUCCACCUACCACCAACGCUGCCCACUAAACCACAUCUCUCAGUACCACACUGACACCUUUCUUCAGCAUCUCUGGAGAUCUCAAGCCCAGAUAUCUCUUCAGAGCUCUGCACCUACAACUGUCACCUCUACAUUCAUAGGAGGAAGGGACCAGGCACUCACAGGCCAGCAAAAAUCCACCCAGCUCAGUGAAACUGCAGCAAUUUACUGCAGCUGACAGGAGCGAGUAUUGAUGUUGUCACCAUCACCCAGGGUCAUUCGCACCACAGUGUGGCUUUCUCUCUCUCUUUCAUGUUGAGAUUUGCUCUUAGGCUUUUUCCUUGCAGGGAGUUUGAUGGAUGAAAAACCUAGUGCGUGAGUUUGAUGCAAGGGGAGGUGUUUGGAGACUGCUUUCGUCUCUGGCUGUAUCAAUAAUUAAUAUGUUGAUCCAGAGCAAUAUUAUAAUCAGGGUAAAUAUAUUUUUUUUUUCUAUCCCCUGGUUUUCUAUUCAGUAAACAGCAAAAGAAAAAUAACUGCUGCUGUCACUGCUCAAUGAGCUUCCCAGAGUCACAGCCAACCGCUUCCACCACUUCCAUGAUGGACUAAGAAGUCCAUCCCCCUCCCCUCAGUCUUCUUGUUUUUAGCUUUUCCAGACAGGGUAUUCCUGCAAGAUUAAGGUUUGACUUUUUAAAGCUUCUGUUUUAUUGGAAAGGCCACAUCUCCCAAAUACAAUGGCCAUGUGUCCCAUGAGCCCAUCUGUGUUUUGUGGGCAGCUGGAGGACCACUGCAUGGGGGCAGAAGCGUAGACAGGAAUCUCACUACAAGCAACAGUUUCUCAGAUUCAUCCUAUUCACAGUUUUCAUUCUUUGUCCACUUUUCAGUCUUAGUUUCUCUAACACCACUAUAUGGGCUUAGAAAUCACAUCCCAUCUCAGCGUGUCCAUUAGAGUUGAGGAGUUAUUGGGAGGAGAGGCUGAAGCAUCACUGACAGAGUUUUCAGCAGCUAAAUGUCCAACCUUUUUAUCCUCACAGCAAGCAAAGGGCAGUUUUCCAGAGGCAUUUGGCACUCGACUUACUCAGUGCUGACCUAAAACAUUUUGGCCUCGAUGCUGAAACAGUUUCUGAGGUCGAUUCAUCAGCGGGCUCCAGUUUAUUCUCAAGAACGCCACUGCUGACAUGAUCCACCUGAGACCAAUUAUACCCAUGGCCUUUGAACUUCUUCAAUAUGCAGAUUGGACUUUCUUCCUCCUCCUCUCCUGCAAAGUUGACUCUGUCUUCUGUGCUGCUCCUUGAGGUUCUGUGGUCCAAAUUAAAAUAUCAUCUGCUGUAACUUCAGCACCUCCUAAUCCCUCAAAUAUCUGCUAAAUUACUCUUUGAAAUACCUUGGGAGCAGAACUAAUUCCAGAUGGCAUUAGCUUAAAUUUGCAAUGUCCAACUGGUGUAUUAAAAAUCACCAGCUUUGAGCCCCAUUCAUCUAAUUUUACUGGCUUUAAUAGAUAUUCUGCCUUCCUGCUGAGAGUAUUUCUGCUUCUGAGAACAUUGCUAACUCUUCAUUAAGGGUUUCCAGCAGAUAAUGUCUCCGUUUGAAAGGUUCUAUUUAAACCAUAUAGAUCAACCUGCACCUGUGAUUUAUCUGGCUUUUUGUUUCAUAUCCUAGUUAAUCCACUAGGUUCAGCCUAGUCUGCUGGUUGAUGGAGUCCAGAGGGAUGACACACAACAGUGGUUUGGUGUUGAUGCAGGAGGCAAUCCCAGGACUAGCUGAGGAACUGAGCUUAUUUCAUCCCUACAGUUUCGUCUCCUUUCCUCUCUGCCAGCAGAAGCAGGAGGAGCUGCUUUGUCUGCAGCCCUAAAUUCCCCCAAAGGGACACCUUUCUCCAGACUUCCUUCAGGAUUUGAGACAUCCAAGUCUGCCAAGUCAGAUCCAAGCUGGAUCUCAACUGGGUUCCCUCUGAUGGUGGAGAUGGCAUCUUCCAUUGCAUCUCCAGCCAUUGCUGGGCACAUCUUGGAGUGCAGAUGGACCCGCUCAGUACUGGGGCUUGCCUACAUUUUGGAAAAUGGGAAUUGGUCUCCUUGAGCCAAAAUGCGAACAUUGAAGCUUGAGUACACUAUGAGAAAUUAGAAGGAUUCACUGCUUAUAUGGUACCCAACAGGGAUUCACUCAAGAUUGUACCCAGCACACAGGAGCCAAAAUGAGAAAACAGAAGGGAAAAUAAUAAUAAUAAUUUUUAAAAAGGAGGGAAAACUGAAGAAAAAUGAAAGGAAAGCCCUUAAGGGUUGCUAUCCUGGUGUGAGUGAAAGAGGAUCUGAGCUGUCAUGCGAGUGGCAGGAGAGACAGACAGAGCUGGGGGGUGACGCUGCUCAAUGCUGUCACUGCUGGUUCUGGCAUCCUGGGCUGGUGCAGGUGGGGAUGCUGGGCAGUGCUGGGUUGAAGGCCAGAUGGCAUCUGAUGCCCGCCGUGCCACUGCAGCCCACCAGAUGAUGACGCUUGGUGUUUACAGGCUGCUAGAGCUGCACUGGGCAGUCUGACUUUAAUCCCAUUCCUCCAUCAUCUCAUCCUCACCCUGCCCACGGACACCAUGUCCAGGGCAGCUUCAUUAUUUGCCUUUGUGCUCAGCCAGAGCUCUCUGCUUCCCCUGUGGCAGGAUAUUAACUGGGUUUAAUUUCAAGGAACAAAUCCCCUCUGUCCUCUGGGUUCCACUCUCGUACUCAGGCCAGCUCAUUUCCAGGCUGGCUUCCAGAGGGAAGGGUUGGAGGCCACACGGCAGCUGCUCAGAUGAUGGGGCUGGAGCUGCCAGCAAUUUUCUGCUGUGACCAAAAUGAUCUUUAAUAAAAGCAUGGGGGAUUUCUUAGGUUUUUUAUUUCCUCCUUUUUUCCUUGGACUUUGGGCAAACUGCAGCAAUGAUGGAGCAGUAGGAACUGAGGGAUGGGAAUCAAGGAUGGUUGGAGGUGAGCUGUCCAUGGGAAGGAUGAAUGAGGUUGGGUGGCUCUGGGGACAGGGAGCUCUUGUAGAUGCUUCUCCUGCAUCCUCUUGCAGACUUAAUACAAGAUACACAGGAGAUCAUAGAAUCAUAGAAUCGUUAUGGUUGGAAAAGACCUCUAAGAUCAUCUAGUCCAAUCAUUCACCUACCACCAAUAUAACCCACUGACCACAUCCCUCAGUGCCACGUCUGAGCACAUGCAGGAAUGGUGAUAUUACCAUCUCCCCAUGCAGACUGUGCCAAUGCAUCACCACUCAUUCAGAGUUUUUCCUAACAUCCAGUCCUCCCAAAGGAGAGCAGUGGCAGCAGAGCCCUUUGCCAUGUUGCUGCUGCAGGAGUUUUCUUGCAGACCAUGCAGUUUUACUCAACUGGAAAAAUUCCUAGAAGCCUAUUAACACCAAAAAAA